rnacentral:rRNA from 1 species
GAUGAACGCUGGCGGCGUGCCUAAUACAUGCAAGUCGAGCGAACGGACGAGAAGCUUGCUUCUCUGAUGUUAGCGGCGGACGGGUGAGUAACACGUGGAUAACCUACCUAUAAGACUGGGAUAACUUCGGGAAACCGGAGCUAAUACCGGAUAAUAUUUUGAACCGCAUGGUUCAAAAGUGAAAGGCGGUCUUGCUGUCACUUAUAGAUGGAUCCGCGCUGCAUUAGCUAGUUGGUAAGGUAACGGCUUACCAAGGCAACGAUGCAUAGCCGACCUGAGAGGGUGAUCGGCCACACUGGGACUGAGACACGGUCCAGACUCCUACGGGAGGCAGCAGUAGGGAAUCUUCCGCAAUGGGCGAAAGCCUGACGGAGCAACGCCGCGUGAGUGAUGAAGGUCUUCGGAUCGUAAAACUCUGUUAUUAGGGAAGAACAUAUGUGUAAGUAACUGUGCACAUCUUGACGGUACCUAAUCAGAAAGCCACGGCUAACUACGUG